CCUUACCAGGGCUUGACAUCCACUGAAUCGAGUAGAAAUACUUGAGUGCCUCGUAAGAGGAGCUGUGAGACAGGUGGUGCAUGGUUGUCGUCAGCUCGUGUCGUGAGAUGUUGGGUUAAGUCCCGCAACGAGCGCAACCCCUGUUGGUAGUUACCAGCGUAAAGACGGGGACUCUACCGAGACUGCCGUGGAUAACCCGGAGGAAGGCGGGGAUGACGUCAAAUCAUCAUGCCCUUUAUGCCCUGGGCUACACACGUGCUACAAUGGCCUGAACAGAGGGCAGCGAAGGAGCGAUCCGGAGCGAAUCCCAGAAAACAGGUCCCAGUUCAGAUUGCAGGCUGCAACUCGCCUGCAUGAAGACGGAGUUGCUAGUAAUCGCGGAU
rnacentral:rRNA from 1 species